CUCUGCCUGUUGGUAGACACUUGGGACCAUCUCUGUGACUUUUAGCAGUCUGCUGCCUACCUGACUGUUGUCUGCCUGGGCCUGGAAGGGAUUCCAAGCUCCCCUACCUGGAGUGGUGUGAUGAAUUCUCCCUUAGCCUACGGAGUACAUUUCAGUGGAGGUGGUUGGCUGCUGUUUUGUCUUAGUUAAGUUGUUUUUGGAUUUAAUCAUUUCAGUUCAUUUUAGUUUAAUCAUUUUAAGCUUUGUUAGUGCCCCCAGGACACCGCUGUUUGGUUUGCUUGUAUUUUAGGUUAUCAAGUGGUUUGUUUUCUUUAUUUAAAUUGUUAUUUUGCUUUGCAGUGGAGCUAGUAGCCAGCUUGUGGGGGGGCUAGGCACGUUAGUGUGGUUCCCUUUGCAGACUGUGGUGAUAACCGCACGGUGACACGAUUUGUGGUGACACGAUUUGCAGUGAACCGGUUUGCAGUGACUAUUGCAGUGGGCACAUGCAGUGGGUAAGUUGGUGUACCCCUGGCACACAGCCUUAGACUGUCUCUCCACUGCUGGCCUAUGCCCAGUUCCCUCCCCUCCCCUUUCCUUUGAUAUUUUAAGCCAU